GAGAGUCUUCCAGGUGCUCUCAGGGAAACCAUGCUUAUCAUAAAAAGGUGCUUCUGCCUUCCAAGCAAUGGCUUCUUUUCAAAACUGCAGACCCUAUCAACUCACACAGAAAAUGAGAAGAAUGUAACAAUCAUCAAAAAUUUUAGGAUACAUCACUGAAUGAUAAAGCACAGCAAAGCUCUGGCUUUCCAGUGAGCUGAAGUCUCACCCCAUUCUAUCUCCGCCUCUGUGUACAACAUACAACAGAAAUGCUGGUGAAGUUUUGUCUUUACUUACAUUUUUGGCAAGUCACUUUGCCUAUUGCUCAAUGACCAUUCCGUUAACAGGAAUGGUCAGUAAUUCCAGGCACAUCCCAGUAAUCCAGUAGAAUCUCCUCACCUCGCAGAUGGGCAUGUCAUAACAGGAUUUGUCUCCACCCACAUUACUCCAGCAAUUAAUUUUACACCUAAGCCACUUGGCAAAGAACAUCUUGUUCCCAGCCCUGCUGAGACUCAUCUCCAGAAAAUUUAAAUCAAUUUGAUGUGUCACCUGGAGUAAAGUCAGAAAUCUCAAAUCAUGACACGUGGCAAAGCACCUCCAACACUGCUGGGAGCACCCGUUCUCACAUGACAAAUCUGCAUAAGAGGCUUUGAAGGAGAGCAAACGUGUCUAAAUCAAGGAAAUCACAGCUCCUGACCUCAAAGAAGGUGCACAGCUCCAUAAAAUUAAUAAUCCCUACUGAUAUCCUCUGCUCUCUGGGCCUCCUGAAAACAUCUGUGGGCUCCAGGGUUAAUUUCUCACUCAAGUCCAAGGGCAGAGCAAGCUCCAAGCAAGAGAAGAAACUCAGCCUGUGUGAAACAGAAAGUUUGGAGUGGCCAGGCUCUUAAAAAAGGCAUGGUCUUAGCAUGGCUAACAGGAAACCUGCAUAGUGGAAUAAAUCACAAGAAGCUCCACUUUCUUCAUGCAGGAAAAAGCUUCUUCUUUAUUCACAUAACCCAUUUUUAUACAGUUUUACAG